rnacentral:rRNA from 1 species
AGAGUUUGAUCCUGGCUCAGGAUGAACGCUGGCGGCAUGCCUAAUACAUGCAAGUCGAACGAAGUCUUUAGGAAGCUUGCUUCCAAAGAGACUUAGUGGCGAACGGGUGAGUAACACGUAGGUAACCUGCCCAUGUGCCCGGGAUAACUGCUGGAAACGGUAGCUAAAACCGGAUAGGUAUGAGGAAGGCAUCUUCCUCAUAUUAAAGCACCUUCGGGUGUGAACAUGGAUGGACCUGCGGCGCAUUAGCUGGUUGGUGAGGUAACGGCCCACCAAGGCGAUGAUGCGUAGCCGACCUGAGAGGGUGAACGGCCACAUUGGGACUGAGACACGGCCCAAACUCCUACGGGAGGCAGCAGUAGGGAAUUUUCGUCAAUGGGGGGAACCCUGAACGAGCAAUGCCGCGUGUGUGAAGAAGGUCUUCGGAUCGUAAAGCACUGUUGUAAGUGAAGAAUGCCACAUAGAGGAAAUGCUAUGUGGGUGACGGUAGCUUACCAGAAAGCCACGGCUAACUACGUGCCAGCAGCCGCGGUAAUACGUAGGUGGCAAGCGUUAUCCGGAAUUACUGGGUGUAAAGGGAGCGCAGGCGGGAUAGCAAGUCAGCUGUGAAAACUAUGGGCUCAACCCAUAAACUGCAGUUGAAACUGUUAUUCUUGAGUGGAGUAGAGGCAAGCGGAAUUCCGAGUGUAGCGGUGAAAUGCGUAGAUAUUCGGAGGAACACCAGUGGCGAAGGCGGCUUGCUGGGCUCUAACUGACGCUGAGGCUCGAAAGUGUGGGGAGCAAACAGGAUUAGAUACCCUGGUAGUCCACACUGUAAACGAUGAAUACUAGGUGUGCGGGGACUGACCCCCUGCGUGCCGCAGUUAACACAAUAAGUAUCCCACCUGGGGAGUACGAUCGCAAGGUUGAAACUCAAAGGAAUUGACGGGGGCCCGCACAAGCGGUGGAUUAUGUGGUUUAAUUCGAAGCAACGCGAAGAACCUUACCAGGCCUUGACAUGGAUAUAAAUGUUCUAGAGAUAGAAAGAUAGCUAUAUAUCACACAGGUGGUGCAUGGUUGUCGUCAGCUCGUGUCGUGAGAUGUUGGGUUAAGUCCC